ACGGGUAACGGGGAUCAGGGUUCGAUUCCGGAGAGGGAGCCUUAGAAACAGCUACCACAUCCAAGGAAGGCAGCAGGCGCGCAAAUUACCCAAUCCAGACACUGGGAGGUAGUGACGAGAAAUACUGGGGGUGCCCCAAGUGGGUACCAUCCGGAAUGAACGUAACACAAAAAAUUCGAUGAGGAUCUACUGGAGGGCAAGUCUGGUGCCAGCAGCCGCGGUAAUUCCAGCUCCAGUAGUGUAUAUCAACAUUGUUGCGCUUAAAACGCUCGUAGUUGGAUUACAGAGUGUCAAACACGACCCUUUUAUAAAGGAUUUGUGGUCUACAGUCGCGGGCCUGUCAACUGACGGCCUUGAUAGUAGAUGACGCUCUUUUGUCGCAUUGACUUUGGCUGGCAACUUUAGUGGGGUCGGCCAAACGUUGAUGGAGUGUGCCUUGAAUAAAACAUGGUGCUCAAAGCAGGCGAAAGCUCGAGUGUAAUAGCAUGGAACGAAUAAUAGAUCUACAGCCGCUUUUGUGGUUGGAUGGUUCAUUUAGUAUUGGUGGUGAACCGGGUCUCAAUGGUUAAAAGGGACAUCUGAGGGCACUAGUACUUUGUGGCGAGAGGUGAAAUUUUUAGACCCACAAACGACUAACUACUGCGAAGGCAUUUGCCAAGAAUGUUUUCAUUAAUCAAGAACGAAGGUCAGAGGAUCGAAGACGAUCAGAUACCGUCCUAGUUUUGACAGAAAACUAUGCCAGCAUAGGCUGAGGGCGACCACCCUUACCCAGGGAAGAGUCACCUUGGUCCUUAAGGGAAACUUAGCUUUCGGGCUGCUGGGAGAAUAUUGCUGCAAGGCUGAAAUUUAAAGAAAUUGACGGAGAGGCACCACCAGGAGUGGAGCUUGCGGCUUAAUUUGACUCAACACGGGGAACCUCACCAGGUCCAGACAUUGGGAGGAUUGACAGACUGGUAGAUCUUUCAUGAUUCAGUGAUUGGUGGUGCAUGGCCGUUCUUAGUUGGUGGAGUGAUCUGUCAGGUCUAUUCCGGUAACGAGCGAGACCACGUCCUUUUCAGUUACAGCAGUUGUUGUGCAUUCAAUGGUUGCUAACUAGAGGGACAGCCGGUGAAAAGCCGGAGGAAGCGUGGCAAUAACAGGUCUGUGAUGCCCUUCGAUGUCCUGGGCUGCACGCGUGCUACAAUGGCAACAGUAGAGAGAUGCUACCUCGAGAGAGGUCGGCGAACCUGCUAAUAGUUGUCGUGAUAGGGAUUGAGCCUUGCAAUUGUUGCUCAUGAAAUAGGAAUUCCUCGUAAGCACGAGUCAUCAGCUUGUGUUGAAUACGUCUCUGCCUCUUGUACACACCGCCCGUCGCUACUACCGAUUGAAUUGCUUCCAAAGCUGGCCGGMCCGGACUUGGCUCUUSCCGAGCUGGGAGG
rnacentral:rRNA from 1 species